CCCCUCUCAAGGUCACACCUGAAGAGUUUCCAGUAGUUUACCAGUCUUGACUACAGGAGGGACAGUCAAGCAGAGGCCUACCCAUUCCAUUCCUAGCUUGGGCAGUGGCUAGAGAGUGGAAGGCGAUCUGCUACAAGU
rnacentral:snoRNA from 1 species